AAGUCGUAACAAGGUUUCCGUAGGUGAACCUGCGGAAGGAUCAUUAACACUUUUUCCCUUUCCCUAACCUGGAGUGGGAGUUUGGCAGAAAGACCUUUUUAUCGGGGUUUUCUUUGCUAAGCUUCUCUUCAGACCACCCCUUUGUGUGCACUUGUUGAGAGGGAGAAGCCAGAAGCUUUAUUGUUUUUGGUAGAUCUCUCUUACUAUUUUUCCAUUUUUUCUUUUUUUUUACCCCUUUUUUAAUGCGAUAGACUGAAAUAAUGACCUAUUGGAAGGGUCUGAAACCUCCAAAAAUUGUAAUACAACUCUUAGCAACGGAUAUCUAGGCUCUC
rnacentral:misc_RNA from 1 species